UCAGGAUGAACGCUAGCGGCAGGCCUAACACAUGCAAGUCGAACGGUAACAGCAGAGCUUGCUCUGGCUGACGAGUGGCGCACGGGUGCGUAACGCGUAUACAAUCUGCCUAUUACUGGGGUAUAGCCCGAAGAAAUUUGGAUUAACCCCCCAUAGUAUUGAGAUAAGGCAUCUUAUUUCAAUUAAAACCACGGUGGUAAUAGAUGAGUAUGCGUCCUAUUAGUUUGUUGGUAAGGUAACGGCUUACCAAGACUUCGAUAGGUAGGGGUCCUGAGAGGGAGAUCCCCCACACUGGUACUGAGACACGGACCAGACUCCUACGGGAGGCAGCAGUGAGGAAUAUUGGACAAUGGAGGCAACUCUGAUCCAGCCAUGCCGCGUGCAGGAAGACUGCCCUAUGGGUUGUAAACUGCUUUUAUAGAGGAAGAAACCUCCCUUCGUGAAGGGAAUUGACGGUACUCUACGAAUAAGGAUCGGCUAACUCCGUGCCAGCAGCCGCGGUAAUACGGAGGAUCCAAGCGUUAUCCGGAAUCAUUGGGUUUAAAGGGUCCGUAGGCGGACUGAUAAGUCAGUGGUGAAAGUCUGCAGCUCAACUGUAGAAUUGCCAUUGAUACUGUUAGUCUUGAGUCAUUAUGAAGUGGUUAGAAUGAGUGGUGUAGCGGUGAAAUGCAUAGAUAUCACUCAGAAUACCGAUUGCGAAGGCAGAUCACUAAUAAUGUACUGACGCUGAUGGACGAAAGCGUAGGUAGCGAACAGGAUUAGAUACCCUGGUAGUCUACGCCGUAAACGAUGGUUACUAGCUGUUUGGUCGAUUGAGACUGAGUGGCUAAGCGAAAGUGAUAAGUAAC
rnacentral:rRNA from 1 species